AUUGAACGCUGGCGGCAUGCCUUACACAUGCAAGUCGAACGGUAACAGGUCUUCGGAUGCUGACGAGUGGCGAACGGGUGAGUAAUACAUCGGAACGUGCCCGAUCGUGGGGGAUAACUACUCGAAAGAGUAGCUAAUACCGCAUACGAUCUACGGAUGAAAGCGGGGGAUCUUCGGACCUCGUGCGGACGGAGCGGCCGAUGGCAGAUUAGGUAGUUGGUGGGAUAAAAGCUUACCAAGCCGACGAUCUGUAGCUGGUCUGAGAGGACGACCAGCCACACUGGGACUGAGACGCGGCCCAGACUCCUACGGGAGGCAGCAGUGGGGAAUUUUGGACAAUGGGCGAAAGCCUGAUCCAGCAAUGCCGCGUGCAGGAUGAAGGCCUUCGGGUUGUAAACUGCUUUUGUACGGAACGAAAAGACUCCUUCUAAUACAGGGGGCCCAUGACGGUACCGUAAGAAUAAGCACCGGUUAACUACGUGCCAGCCGCCGCGGUAA
rnacentral:rRNA from 1 species